rnacentral:lncRNA from 1 species
AAUACCCCUCCAAMGGGUUAGCGUUUCUCAAACCUGCUUUAAUCUAAGCCGUAUGAGACCGAGAACCAAGCUCUGCCCAUCUAUCCGUGUAACACAGCUUCGCCCCAUCAGGAGGAUGAACCCAGCCUAGACGUAAACCCACAGGUUUGGCCAUUGCUGGGGGACACCUGGGCCCGCUGGGGAGCCAUGGGGUCUCCAAGGGCCGUGCCCRGCUCUCCGCUUGGCCGUGGGGCCAGCAAGGGUGUCAAGAUGGCACGUGUCUCCUCUUUGCAAUGAGCGUUUUCUGUCCUUUUCUCGCCUGCCCGCUGCUGCCCGGUGCUCUCCAGCACCCGCUKGCGUGCGAUGCACCGGCCCUGCUGGGCUGGGAAGUUCAGAGCCGGGUUUAUCCCUGGCGUCRGGCAGAAUAUCCCAGACGUUUGGCACGACCGGGGCACUAAGCUCCUCGUCUCCCCCCAGGACACCAUGGUGCCCCAGGGCGCGUGGUGCUUCGUCGUCGCGCUGUGGGCGCUGGUCCCCGCAGCCCGUGGGGCGCGACGGGAGGACGACGCGGGCACGRCCUCGGCACUCCGGGUGGACCGGGCCGGACGCUACCUCGCCGAACCGGGGGACCCCCGCGAAGGCGACGAGCGGUGCGGCCUCACCUUCCGCACCCCCAGCCCCUGCAGCCCCGGCGGGCCGCCUCCGUCCCCUGCCACCCGGGAUGAGCUGGACCAUCUCAAGAACCUCCUGCAGGACACCAGGGCCAGCCUGAAGCGGGUGGAGACURCGGCCAAGCUGGAAGACGGCGCAGCCCGGUAUCAGGAUAUCAUCGCCGAGGCGUUGCCCGCCAUCCACGGGGCUAACCUGGAGUUUCGGGAGAGCCUGGACAACGUCCGCAAGGAGCUGGAGGUGCACGUGGCUGAAGCCGAUCACCCAGAGGUGGCAGAGAAGAGGCAGAAGCUGCGGAAAGGCGUGCGGGUGCUGGCGCACGUGCUGCGGCUCACCGGCCACCUCGCCGAGGAGCUCGACGCCGCCUCCCACCACCUCGGGGCCGAGCUGGGCCAGCACCUGCAGCGCUUGGCCGCCUGGGCCGCGGACGAGCCCUAGGGGAGCUGGGGCGGCGGUGGAGGAAAAGCCCUGCUGCGCUCGCAGGCGUCGCCGGACCGGGCUCCGCCGUGCUCUGCCUUGCUUGCGCGCGCUGGCAGCGCCCCGUUCUGCGCCAGCCCCGGCCCGUCGCUGCGGCUCCUCUCCGAGGGAGCCCGCGCAG